GCUUAGCCCUAAACUAAAAUAGUUACAUAACAAAACUAUUUGCCAGAGAACUACUAGCCAUAGCUUAAAACUCAAAGGACUUGGCGGUACUUUAUAUCCAUCUAGAGGAGCCUGUUCUAUAAUCGAUAUACCCCGCUUUACCUCACCAUCCCUUGCUAAUUCAGCCUAUAUACCGCCAUCUUCAGCAAACCCUUAAAAGGUCUCAAAGUAAGCAAGAGAACAACCAUAAAAACGUUAGGUCAAGGUGUAGCCAAUGAGAUGGGAAGCAAUGGGCUACAUUUUCUAUUUAAGAACAUUACGAUACCCUUUAUGAAACUAAAGGACAAAGGAGGAUUUAGUAGUAAAUUAAGAAUAGAGAGCUUAAUUGAAUAGAGCAAUGAAGUACGC
rnacentral:rRNA from 1 species